rnacentral:rRNA from 1 species
UCAAAACUUUCAACAACGGAUCUCUUGGUUCUGGCAUCGAUGAAGAACGCAGCGAAAUGCGAUAAGUAAUGUGAAUUGCAGAAUUCAGUGAAUCAUCGAAUCUUUGAACGCACAUUGCGCCCCCUGGUAUUCCGGGGGGCAUGCCUGUUCGAGCGUCAUUA